CAAUUGAGCAGAACUAUCCUGCUUUUGAUCCUUGGGGACAAGGAUCCUCUCAAGGGGAAGGCUUUGAUACAACCACGAAUGCUGAUGCUCGUGCCAUACAUGUGACCACAGGGAAUGAGACUGCUCGUGCAAUGCACAUGGUCAGAGAAGAUACAAUGAAUGCUGCAAAUCAAACAACUGGCAGUGCUGAGUUGGAAGGAAUUAUUCUAGAAAGGGAAUAUUAGCGAACAAACUCCCAUAUUUACGCUUUUCUGUUAUUUUAACUAUUUUCCUGGUAAUUAAGGCUAUUAUAAAAGCCAUUAGUGAAGUAUGUAAUAGUUAUCAGAAAUCAAUACAAUAUUCCCACCUUCCUCUCUCUAUCUCUCUGCCUUUGUAAUAUCAUUAAUACAUUAGUCAAGAUCCUUGUGAUUUCCCUUUAUUCUAUCGGAUUAUCACUGGAAUUGAUUAAUCACAGCACUCAUCUCUUCAUUUAGGAAUUGUGACUGGAUUUUGCUGGAUUAUAUCACAUAGUUAUAUUUUGGGGAAUUUUCUGAGCGAGGUUCAGUGGGGUAAAAUUGAUGAACUUCAUCUGAAUUUGGCGAGGUAUCUAGCAGGGGAUAAGCAAGACGAACUAGUCGAGGCGACUCGGUUCAGCUUGUGUUUACUCUGAUUCUUACUAGAAGAUUUGGUACUGUAUUUAUGUUUUCAUUUUCUUUCAUUCGAUUUCAGCCUUGGUUUAUCUUGAAUUAGAAGUAGUAUAAGUUUUGCUUUGGAGAAUAAAAAUGAAAGUUUGUGCUUUUACUUUGUUAUUUUGCUCAUGAAUGCGUCAGUACUAGCUGGUAUGCAAUUUGCUAUAUUAAUUUAAUUAUUAGCUUAAUUUUCAUUUAUUUGCUUUGUUAAUUAUUUUGAUUAUGAAUUUUAUGUUCGACUAUUUCACCAAAAGUCACUGAGUACUUACGAAAUUCACCGAAUGCCAUCGCGUUUUUCAGAAUUCACCAAAUGCCACUGAGUUUUACAAAAAUUCACCGAGUGUCAUUAAUGACUGACAACCGUUAGUUAACCGUUGGUUGACCCCACCACUUGCCACGUGUCACCUUCUGAUUGGUCCGUUUUAAAAAAAAAUUAAUUUUUUUUAAAAAAUAAAGAAUUUAAAAAACCAAAAAAAUUAAAAAUCAAAAAAAGAAGAGGAGGAGAGAGAAAAUGAGGAACAACCGUCCUUCCUCCACAAUCUCCCCCUCCGGUCAGCCUCCUUUCUUCCCCCUCCACGAUUUCCAACCCCCUUCCUCAAUCUCCGGCAACCGUCGCCUCACUCCGACCACCUUCUCAUUCCGGCGAACUUACACAUUUUCUUUCUCGCGUCUCUCUCUCUCUCUCAGUUCUCCAUUGUAGCGCUUCCUCCUCCCCGAUUUCGAGGCCCCCUUCCUCCACAAUCGGCGGAGAUUCCUCUCGUUCAUCGGAGAAAUUCGCUUGGUGGGUUGUUGCUCAUUCAUUCCCCUUCUCCUCCUUCCUUCGACGAAUUACAUUGGGGGUUUUUGCUCAUGAAGAACCCUAAAAAAUUGAAUUGGGGGUUUUUAUUUGGUGAAGCAAUCCACAUAAUUGUUUGUUCCAAUUGAUUGUAUGUUGAAUUGUGAACAUUUUGGUACAAGUUUAAUGCAAUUUGGUGAAGAAAUGAGUAUUCCUCAAGCUUACCGACGAAGCCCCACCCUUCAAAAUAACUGUUCAUCAUCUUCAAAGAAGAAACUGGUUCAUAUUCAACGGUUCAUCAUCUUCGUUUUCGGUUUCGAAAUCUGGUUGGUUCUUCUUCGUGGUCCCAUUUGUAGAAACCACUAUUAUUUUAAAACGUUAUCCCUGUUAUUGGUUGUUCGUUUUUUGGGUUUCAAGAAACCAAUUUCCAGACAUUUUUUUAAAAAAAAAACUCCACCGGAGAUAAUGAUUCUGUUGGAACUAGAUGGGCGGAUUUGAUUGUUGGGUCUAAUGGGAAGAUGAUCGUUGCAAUCGAUGAGACUGGGUGCUUUUGCUGGUGAUUACGAUGCUAUAAUGGAGAAGGUGAAGGUGAAGUUGGCGGAGGCGGUCAGGGUGGGGAGUAGGGUGGUUGGUUUUAAUUUGGUGGUUUUUUUUUUUAAUGCCACCGAGUAAUUUGGUGGUUUUUUUUUUUUUAUUAUUAUUUUUUUUAAUUUUUUUUAAAUAUUUUUGGUUUUUUUUUUAAUUUUUUUUAAAAACGUACCAAUCAGCAGAUGACAAGUGGCAAGUGGUGGGGUCAACCAACGGUCAACUAACGCCCGUCAGUCAUUAAUGGCACUCGGUGAAUUUUUGUAAAACUCAGUCGCAUUUGGUGAAUUCUGAAAAAUGCGAUGGCAUUUGGUAAAUUUCGUAAGUACUCAACGGCAUUUGGUGAAAUAGUCGUUUUAUGUUUUCUAUUAUAGUAACCUCAAUAUUUGUUAUGUCAGGCUAAAUUGAGUAGGGAGGUAAGUUAUGUAUUGGAUUAUUGGAUUGUGAGAAUAGAUAUGUUGUAAUUCUUGGGUAUUAUGUUUA